AUUAGAUCUCAAAUCAGGUAGGACUACCCGCUGAACUUAAGCAUAUCAAUAAGCGGAGGAAAAGAAACUAACAAGGAUUCCCCUAGUAGCGGCGAGCGAAGCGGGAAGAGCUCAAAUUUAUAAUCUGGCACCUUCGGUGUCCGAGUUGUAAUCUCUAGAAAUGUUUUCCGCGCUGGACCGCACACAAGUCUGUUGGAAUACAGCGGCAUAGUGGUGAGACCCCCGUAUAUGGUGCGGAUGCCCAGCGCUUUGUGAUACAUUUUCGAAGAGUCGAGUUGUUUGGGAAUGCAGCUCAAAUUGGGUGGUAAAUUCCAUCUAAAGCUAAAUAUUGGCGAGAGACCGAUAGCGAACAAGUACCGUGAGGGAAAGAUGAAAAGCACUUUGGAAAGAGAGUUAACAGUACGUGAAAUUGUUGGAAGGGAAACGCUUGAAGUCAGACUUGCUUGCCGAGCAAUCGGUUUGCAGGCCAGCAUCAGUUUUCCGGGAUGGAUAAUGGUAGAGAGAAGGUAGCAGUUUCGGCUGUGUUAUAGCUCUCUACUGGAUACAUCUUGGGGGACUGAGGAACGCAGUGUGCCUUACGGCGGGGGUUUCGACCUCUUCACACUUAGGAUGCUGGUGGAAUGGCUUUAAACGACCCGUCUUGAAACACG
rnacentral:rRNA from 1 species